rnacentral:lncRNA from 1 species
CUUCCAUGAGCCUAAACACCUUCCCUCCGCACGCUCGGUAUCGCGACGGGGGAGAGCAAAACCUUUAAACAAAUGCUCCAGUUUUCCCCGCAGAGAGCCGGAGUCAAAUCCGUGAGGAAGCCCGGGGGUCGCAGUGAAGCCCAACCCACUGGUGCUGGGAUAACCUCGCCCGCAACCCGGAUCCAGGCCGCAGGUCCCCCGAGGCUCCGC